rnacentral:rRNA from 1 species
UAAAUGAAAAAGGGCGUACGGUGAAUGCCUUGGCAUAAUGAGCAGAAGAAGGACGCAGCGAACGGCGAAACGCCUCGGGGAGUGGUAAGCACACAGAGAUCCGGGGGUAUCCGAAUGGGGGAACCCAGCACUGGUAAUGCAGUGUUAUCCACAAGUGAAUACAUAGCUUGUGAGAAGAGAACGCAGGGAAUUGAAACAUCUUAGUACCUGUAGGAGAAGAAAAUAAAAAUGAUUCCCUAAGUAGUGGCGAGCGAAAGGGGAAGAGCCCAAACCAGUCUAAGGACUGGGGUUGUAGGACCACAACGUGGUACUCAAACGGUUAGUCGAACGGCAUUGAAAGGUCGGUCAAAGAAGGUGCAAACCCUGUAGACGAAAAUCGAAUGAGACCUAGUGGAAUCCUGAGUACGGCGAGGCACGUGAAACCUUGUCGGAAUUAGCCGGGACCAUCCGGUAAGGCUAAAUACUCCAUUAUGACCGAUAGUGAACCAGUACCGUGAGGGAAAGGUGAAAAGAACCGCGGGAGCGGAGUGAAAUAGAACCUGAAACCGUAUGCUUACAAGAAGUCAGAGCCCGUUAAUGGGUGAUGGCGUGCCUUUUGUAGAAUGAACCGGCGAGUUACCAAUACGUGCGAGGUUAAGUUGAAGAAACGGAGCCGAAGCGAAAGCGAGUCUGAAUAGGGCGACAUAGUACGUGAUGGUAGACCCGAAGCCGUGUGAUCUAGCCAUGAUCAGGUUGAAGGUUGGGUGAUACCAACUGGAGGACCGAACCGACCACCGUUGAAAAGUUGGCGGAUGAAUUGUGGCUAGCGGAGAAAUUCCAAUCGAACACGGCGAUAGCUGGUUCUCCCCGAAAUAGCUUUAGGGCUAGCGUCGAGGUAAGCAACCUGGAGGUAGAGCACUGAAAUCAUGAUGGCCCCAUCUAGGGGUACUGAAUGGUAUCAAACUCCGAAUGCCAGAAUUGUAUACUCGGCAGUCAGACUGUGGGUGAUAAGGUCCAUGGUCAAAAGGGAAACAGCCCAGAUCAUCAGUUAAGGUCCCAAAAUUUCUGCUAAGUGGAAAAGGAUGUGGGGAUGCACAGACAACUAGGAGGUUGGCUCAGAAGCAGCCAUCCUUUAAAGAGUGCGUAACAGCUCACUAGUCGAGUGACCCUGCGCCGAAAAUGUACCGGGGCUAAGCAGAAUACCGAAACUAUGGCAAUGUCGUAAGAUAUUGGGUAGGGGAGCGUUCCAAUCAGCGUUGAAGCCAUACCGUAAGGAGUGGUGGAGCGUUUGGAAGUGAGAAUGCCGGUGUGAGUAGCGAGAUGUAGGUGAGAAUCCUACACACCGAUUGACUAAGGUUUCCAGGGGAAGGUUCGUCCUCCCUGGGUAAGUCGGGACCUAAGGCGAGGCUGACAAGCGUAGUCGAUGGACAACGGGUUGAUAUUCCCGUACCCGCACUUGAGUGAAGGAAUGACAAAGAAGGUUAGCAAUACCCCUUAAUGGAUUGGGGAUUAAGCGAAGUAGGAGACAUGUAGGCAAAUCCGCAUGUCAAUCCAAAAGCGUGACGACGAGUGAACGGGCGACCAAGUAGCGAAGUUUGUGAUACCAGCUUUCAAGAAAAGUUUCUAGCGUUAAUCAAGAUGCGGCCCGUACCAAAACCGACACAGGUGGUCAAGGCGAGAAGCCUAAGGUGAGCGAGAGAACUGUUGCCAAGGAACUCGGCAAAAUUGCCCCGUACGUUCGCAAGAAGGGGCGCUCUUGUAAAAGAGAGCCGCAGUGAAGAGGCCCAAGCAACUGUUUAACUAAAACACAGCUCUCUGCAAAGUCGCAAGACGAAGUAUAGGGGGUGACGCCUGCCCGGUGCUGGAAGGUUAAGAGGAUGAGUUAGUCGCAAGGCGAAGCUUUGAAUUGAAGCCCCAGUGAACGGCGGCCGUAACUAUAACGGUCCUAAGGUAGCGAAAUUCCUUGUCAGGUAAGUUCUGACCCGCACGAAAGGCGUAAUGAUUUGGGCGCUGUCUCGGCAGCAGACUCGGUGAAAUCUUAGUACCUGUGAAAAUGCAGGUUACCCGCAACUAGACGGAAAGACCCCAUGGAGCUUUACUGUAGCUUGAUAUUGAGUUUUGAUUAACUAUGUACAGAAUAGGUGGGAGGCUAAGAAGUUGGGACGCUAGUUUCAAUGGAGCCAUCGUUGGGAUACCACUCUUAGUUACUUGAAAUUCUAACUUAUGGCCCUGAUCGGGUCAAAGGACAGUGUCAGGUGGGCAGUUUGACUGGGGCGGUCGCCUCCUAAAGAGUAACGGAGGCGCCCAAAGGUACCCUCAGAUUGGUUGGAAAUCAAUCGUUGAGUGCAAAUGCAGAAGGGUGCUUGACUGCGAGACUUACAAGUCGAGCAGGGACGAAAGUCGGGAUUAGUGAUCCGGCGGUGCAGUAUGGAAUGGCCGUCGCUUAACGGAUAAAAGCUACCCUGGGGAUAACAGGCUGAUCUCGCCCAAGAGUUCACAUCGACGGCGAGGUUUGGCACCUCGAUGUCGGCUCAUCGCAUCCUGGAGCUGAAUUCGGUUCCAAGGGUUGGGCUGUCCGCCCAUUAAAGCGGUACGCGAGCUGGGUUCAGAACGUCGUGAGACAGUUCGGUCCCUAUCUGUUGUGGGCGUAGGAAAUUUGAGGAACGCUGUCCCUAGUACGAGAGGACCGGGAUGGACGUACCGAUGGUGUACCAGUUGUCACGCCAGUGGCAUGGCUGGGUAGCUAAGUACGGACUGGAUAAACGCUGAAGGCAUCUAAGCGUGAAACCAAUUCCAAGAUGAGAUUUCCCAUUUCCUUGAGAAAGUAAGACCCCUUGAAGACGACGAGGUUGAUAGGUCAGAGAUGGAAGUACAGUGAUGUAUGGAGUUGACUGAUACUAAUAGGUCGAGGAUUUAAUCA